rnacentral:rRNA from 2 species
GGGUUGUGAGGUUAAGCGACUAAGCGUACACGGUGGAUGCCCUGGCAGUCAGAGGCGAUGAAGGACGUGCUAAUCUGCGAAAAGCGUCGGUAAGGUGAUAUGAACCGUUAUAGCCGGCGAUGUCCGAAUGGGGAAACCCAGUGCAAUUCGUUGCACUAUCGUUUGAUGAAUACAUAGUCAAACGAGGCGAACCGGGGGAACUGAAACAUCUAAGUACCCCGAGGAAAAGAAAUCAACCGAGAUUCCCCCAGUAGCGGCGAGCGAACGGGGAGCAGCCCGGAGUCUGAAUCAGCUUGUGUGUUAGUGGAAGCGUCUGGAAAGUCGCAGGGUACAGGGUGAUACUCCCGUACACUAAA